AAAAGGAAUCUCAGAUAAGACUGUUUUAAAGCCAAGCCCAGCCAUGGUUUGUUGCCAUCAAAUACUUAUGAGUUGGGUAAAUUACUCUCCUCUUGAGGUCCCAAGAUAAACUGGGGCUCCUGAGCCUGUGAGAAAGUGACAUUCUUUACUUAGCAUAGGUCAGGAACUUGUACUGUGACUGUGUAAGUAAGCUGUGAAGCCACUGGAAGUGUAAACAAGAGCAGGGCAUGUAUGAGUAGGUGAGAACGGUGAAUAGGAGUAUGACUAGACAG
rnacentral:lncRNA from 1 species